rnacentral:sRNA from 1 species
UUGCUUCGGUUUCCUCAAUACUGAGGGUC